UCGAGCGAACAGACGAGGAGCUUGCUCCUUUGACGUUAGCGGCGGACGGGUGAGUAACACGUGGGUAACCUACCUAUAAGACUGGGAUAACUUCGGGAAACCGGAGCUAAUACCGGAUAAUAUUUCGAACCGCAUGGUUCGAUAGUGAAAGAUGGCUYUGCUAUCACUUAUAGAUGGACCUGCGCCGUAUUAGCUAGUUGGURAGGUAACGCUUACCAAGGCAACGAUACGUAGCCGACCUGAGAGGGUGAUCGGCCACACUGGAACUGAGACACGGUCCAGACUCCUACGGGAGGCAGCAGUAGGGAAUCUUCCGCAAUGGGCGAAAGCCUGACGGAGCAACGCCGCGUGAGUGAUGAAGGUCUUCGGAUCGUAAAACUCUGUUAUUAGGGAAGAACAAACGUGUAAGUAACUGUGCACGUCUUGACGGUACCUAAUCAGAAAGCCACGGCUAACUACGUGCCAGCAGCCGCGGUAAUACGUAGGUGGCAAGCGUUAUCCGGAAUUAUUGGGCGUAAAGCGCGCGUAGGCGGUUUUUUAAGUCUGAUGUGAAAGCCCA
rnacentral:rRNA from 1 species